UUAAAUUGAAGAGUUUGAUCAUGGCUCAGAUUGAACGCUGGCGGCAGGCCUAACACAUGCAAGUCGAACGGUAACAGGAAGCAGCUUGCUGCUUUGCUGACGAGUGGCGGACGGGUGAGUAAUGUCUGGGAAACUGCCUGAUGGAGGGGGAUAACUACUGGAAACGGUGGCUAAUACCGCAUAACGUCGCAAGACCAAAGAGGGGGACCUUCGGGCCUCUUGCCAUCAGAUGUGCCCAGAUGGGAUUAGCUUGUUGGUGAGGUAACGGCUCACCAAGGCGACGAUCCCUAGCUGGUCUGAGAGGAUGACCAGCCACACUGGAACUGAGACACGGUCCAGACUCCUACGGGAGGCAGCAGUGGGGAAUAUUGCACAAUGGGCGCAAGCCUGAUGCAGCCAUGCCGCGUGUAUGAAGAAGGCCUUCGGGUUGUAAAGUACUUUCAGCGGGGAGGAAGGUGUUGUGGUUAAUAACCGCAGCAAUUGACGUUACCCGCAGAAGAAGCACCGGCUAACUCCGUGCCAGCAGCCGCGGUAAUACGGAGGGUGCAAGCGUUAAUCGGAAUUACUGGGCGUAAAGCGCACGCAGGCGGUCUGUCAAGUCGGAUGUGAAAUCCCCGGGCUCAACCUGGGAACUGCAUUCGAAACUGGCAGG
rnacentral:rRNA from 1 species